AGCAGCCGCGGUAAAUUCCAGCUCCAAUAGCGUAUAUUAAAGUUGUUGCAGUUAAAAAGCUCGUAGUUGAAUUUCGGGAUCAGUUUGUUGGUCGUGCUUCGGUACGUACUGUCAUUACUGGUUUCUCCCUUCUGAAGAACCUUGAUGUCAUUAAUUUGGUGUCUUGGGGAAUCAGGACUGUUACUUUGAAAAAAUUAGAGUGUUUAAAGCAGGCAUACGCUUGAAUACAUUAGCAUGGAAUAAUGAAAUAGGACGUUUGAUUCUAUUUUGUUGGUUUCUAGGAUCGACGUAAUGAUUAAUAGGGAUAGUUGGGGGCAUUAGUAUUCAAUUGUCAGAGGUGAAAUUCUUGGAUUUAUUGAAGACUAACUACUGCGAAAGCAUUUGCCAAGGAUGUUUUCAU
rnacentral:rRNA from 1 species